ensembl:lncRNA
GGAGGUGGUACUGUGUUACUAUGGGGAGGUGGUACUGGGUUACCAUGUGGAGGGGUGGUGGUACUGUUUUACUAUGUGGAGGGGUGGUGGUACUGUGUUACUAUGUGGAGGGGUGGUGGUACUGUGUUACUAUGGGGAGGUGGUACUGUGUUACUAUGGGGAGGUGGUACUGUGUUACCAUGUGGAGGGGUGGUGGUACUGUGUUACAAUGGGGAGGUGGUACUGUGUUACCAUGUGGAGGGGUGGUGGUACUGUGUUACUAAGUGGAGGGGUGGUCGUACUGUGUUACUAUGGGGAGGUGGUACUGUGUUACCAUGUGGAGGGGUGGUGGUACUGUGUUACUAUUGGGAGGUGGUACUGUGUUACUAUGGGGAGGGGUGGAGGUACUGUGUUACUAUGUGGAGGGGUGUUGGUACUGUGUUACUAUGUGGAGGGGUGGUGGUACUGUGUUACUAUGUGGAGGGGUGGUGGUACUGUGUUACCAUGUGGAGGGGUGGUGGUACUGUGUUACCAUGUGGAGGGGUGGUGGUACUGUGUUAC